rnacentral:lncRNA from 1 species
CUUUAAUUUGAGGAAAUGGUCAUAGAGAUCCCUUUGUUUUCAUAAAUAGUGAUAUAAAUAGACGUUUUUUCUUUUUUAAUGUUUAGAAAGAGCUAUACAAACAUUUUUUUAAACACACAAACUCUUUUUUUUGUUUAGAAAUGACCAUUUAUGAAAAUAUGGGAGUCUGUAUCUAAAAAUUAUCACAAACUCAUAUAAAACCAUACAAAAGAACCUUGUUUUUAGAAAUUGUCACAUAGAGCUAAAUUCGUAUCUUUUGGUCAUGUGAUAAGAUUAUAUUAUUAUUUUUGUUUGAUUUUGUUUCAGCCCAAAAAUAUUAUAAGAGCUUGAUUUUGAAGGGUGGUUUUGUGAAUAGUAGGGGCUGAUUCACCUUAAAAUAGUUUUAUGGGGAUGAACAAAAUUGAGAUUGUCUUGAAAAUAAGAGAAAAUAGUUGUUAGAGGUAAUAUCGAUGGUGGCCGACUGUGGCACUCCAACAGUUGAGUUAGGUAAGUAUUUGGAAAGAUGUUGGAUUUUUAAGAAAUUUAAACAUCAGUUAAAAAUUGAAAGUUGUGAGGAAGAAACUGAAUUUGUUUUGCUGAGACUGGCAUAAUAUUAUACAAGUUGUGCCCAAGGACAUCUUAAUGUCUUAUUGGACAUGUGGCAGGCUGUAAAUAAGCCAUUCCUCUACUAAGGUAGGGGCUUUUAGGUAAUUUGACUAUUCAACUUAAGUCUCUUAACUUCUUUAGGCCUAGGCACAUGUCAAUUGUUAGACUGUCCUUAGUACUAGCAUGCGUUAAUCUCUAAUUGACUUAUUUUGAAUGAGCUAAUUAGGCUUUUGGAGAAGUUUUAUCUACUUUUAAUGGCUUAGAUAAAAAUUGAGUUGGUUCCCUCUCUCAUCUUGAUGCAUAUGACUGUUAGUGAGAUGAGAUAAUCCAUAUUAGAAUAAUAUCCUAGUGUCCUAUAGUAAUUUUGAUGGGGGGGCUGUCUUUGAUAUAGUAGUUCUUCAUCAAUAUGAGGCAACUUCAAGGUAUUUUGGGAGAUAAUCUUUGCACUUUCUAGGUUAAUAGUAUGGCUCACACUCUUUUCUUGGGAUCUUUUCAUUUUACGCUUACUCGUUAAAUUUCCUCUUCACUUUUUAUAAGGGCCAACUGGGCAUGAAACUACUGUACACAUGUCAUGCUCUAAUUGCAUUACCUAAAUUUUACCACCAACAAUUAUAUUUUACAUUGUCUUAUGUUUGGUAAUUGGUAUAAUACAUGAUUUGAAAAAGUUGUAUAAAUAAUUUUUGAAUUGAAUUAAUUAAAAAUGGGUGAAAACUAGCAAAAUAUUUAGAUAUUCAUUUAAAUUUAGAGAAAAAGACAACAACACCCCUUAGUUUGAAAAAAUGGUCACAAAGGCCCUUUUAUUUCCAUAAAUGAUUAUACAUAUAAUUUUUAAAGAUACAAAGACUCUUUUAUGUUUAGAAAUGGCCAUACGAGCCACUUUUUAAACAUACAAACUCCUUAUCGAGAACGAAAGUAUGUAUGCGACCAUUUAUAGGGAUGACAAAAAAGCCCGGGCCAGUCCUGUCCAUUCCUACAGGCUUUGGCCCGAGCCUUUCGUAUGAGGGAUUGGACAAAGGGGCUUAGGAAAAAAAGCCCA